CGCCUUCUCCUUCUUCUACUUUUUUGUUUAUUAUGUUCACAUUUUGUUUUUUACUCCAUUUGUUUCAUAUACGAAGCUUAUAGGAUCCGUAUUUUUUUUAUGGGUAUUUUAUGUGCUGCUUAUUAUAUCUUUUCUUCCAGUCAUCUUAUCUUCCUGGAUUGAAAUGUGCUAUAUAUCUUCUAUUUCCUUUUAUUUUUCUUUUUUGAUCGUGCUUUUAUGGUUUAAUUAAUCAAGCUUCUAUUUUCCCGAUUCUCUUAGUUAGAAUGGUCAUUUGAAACUGGAAUUACGUUUCUGGGACCCCCACCUCUUCUCUGUUUCAGGAAAGAUCAGAAAGACAAACUUCUUGAGUGGAGAAGCAAAACGAACGUUGUUCUCUUAUUUAUAUCUUAAUCACUACUGAUAUAGAUGUUAUGCUAAAUGUGACUUUAAAGCAUUGGGGUGCCUUUCUAUAUAUGUUUAUUGUUGUUGUAAUUACGCAGCGAAAUCUUAUAAAAGCUGUACCAAUUUACGUGCUAUAAAAUUUUUGCAUUUUUGGUAUGAACAGUUUUUAAAAUUGGAUCUGAAUCAUCUGAUAUUGGCUGAAUUUACUGUUCACUGCAACAAGGCUAUAGCUUGUAGAAGCAUUGCACGUCGAUGUUUUUUUUUUUUUCCCCUUCUUUUGUUUCUUUCUUUCCAGCUACUUUGUGGAUAGAUCUUGAACUUAAACCAUGCUCUCCCUCUCCCCAUAUGAGAUUCACUUUAUUGAAGCACUGAAGUUGCACAUUUGGUUUUUAUGUUUUGAUUUUAUCCUUUCAAUUGUAUGAGGGGCGCUUGGAGUUGACCUCAAAUUAACAUUUUAGUAGGAUUAGAGUUGAAAAACCAGGAUCAAGUUUAUGGGAUAGGAUGUUGGGACCAUAAUCAGUGCUAAAUCAUCAGUAUCUAAUCAUUCUGGAGUUAAGAAAAGGUUAUUUGCUCAGGAUCGAAUGCCUGUGAUUCUCAUUUCUUGGAACUUGUUUUCUAUGGAACGUAGUGGUUCAUAGUUUGCUUGAUGUAUACACUUUUUAAUCUUUGCAAUUUCAGCUAAAAACAACUAUACAUCUCCACACCCCCUUCCUUUGUCCCUCAGGAGCCUGAUUGCAAGGUAAGACCUUGAGUGCAUUAGAAUAUUCAAAUAAUCAGUAUCAUGGCGCCACUUUCCACCAUAAUUGGGAUGAGAUACGGAUGUUUCCAAGACUAGCUCCUCUUAUGUGGGUUGUUUGCUGGCAUCAUAAUUUUGUAUCAAAUUAAUGAGGAGGGGAGUUAGUGUUGUCCUUUUUUAACAAUGCUUAUUAUGCCUUACAAGCAAAAUAAUGUGUCAACUGUCAAGUAUUUGAUGGGAUAUCUGUAUUACAAUUCUAUCCCGUAGAUAUUGGAGUAUACCCAACUUUUUAGGCUAUUUGAUACGACACCGUACCAUUUUAAGAGGCAAUAGAUAACUUAUUAUUAUUAUUAUAACUUAUCAAAAAAAAAGUAUUUGAUGGAGAUGGCCAAUCUAUGGAGUACACAGAUUGAUGGCAUGAACAUAAACUGGCACUAGAGUUUAUUUACAAUUGAGGAGAAAGGAAGUUGAUAUUUAAUUGAAAAAUGCCCAUUAUGCUUUACUAGCUGGAUGUCUGUCAAGCAGUGUAAGAGAUUAGGAGAUGUGACUUGGGAGUGUAACAAUCUGGGGAAUGCAAAUGAUUGGCAAAGAAAAUAUGUUCCUUUCCCUAUGGCCUUUUUUUACACUAUAUUGUACAAAUAGGAUUAGAGCAUCCUUUAUGCUCUCAGAGAUUUAUGUGAAUUAGAUGUACAAGUGCACUUUCUUUUCUUUUGUUCUUUCUAAUAAGUAUGUGUAGGGAAAAUACCUAAAUAGGUGUUACCUCUUGUAUGCCAUCUUGUGUACUUGGGCUAUGCAUAUUUUUGUCAAUACAAUUGUUGGCCUAUAAAAAAAAAGUAUGUGUAGGGAAAAUAGGAAAAAAAAAAUACAUGGACGAUUUUAUGGUGCAUAAUGUCUGGCAGGUAAAAGGAAACAUGUCCAUUAACUGACUAUGGCUAAGAAUUGUUUUUUUAUAAGUUACCAUGGCUAAGAAUGAUGUUGUUAUAGAGAUGUAAAACUUUUUUUUUUUUUUUUUAUGGGUAAAAGUAAAUUUCAUUGAUAUAAAAGGCAUAGCCCGAGUACACUAGAGUUAGACAAAGAAUAUGCCAAAUUACCGCAAAGUACUAGUAAGAGGUACAAGCAAAGUAUGAAGGUUAUCCGUGUUACAAAUAAUGGCCAAAGCCCAAGAGAGGAGUGUAUUGUAGAAAAAUCUUUUCAGUUCAGCCAUGGAAUGCUCCGUAUCUUCAAAACACCUCUUGUUUUGCUCCAACCACACAAACCGCAUAAUGCAAUGAGGGAUCAUUCUCCACACAGCAACGAUUCGGGCAUUUCUCCGGAUACCUUUCCGGCAGCACAUAAGGGCCCUAACACUUCCAGGCAUGACCCAUACCACCCCUAUCCUAUUAAAGACCUCAUUCCAUAAACAUCUGGCCAUUUCACAGAGUAAUAAGAGAUGGUCAACUGAUUCCCCAUCACUUUUACACAUAUAACAACACCAAUCUGAAAUAAUGAAACCACAUUUUCUAAGGUUAUCCAAGGUGAGAAUCGAUGCUGUCCAAACAAGGAAAGCAAUUGUGGGGGUUACCUUGCACUUCCAAACAGCCUUUUAAGUACAGCUAUGAUCAAUUAGGAAAACCCAAGAGAGCCAAAUAAAAAGAGUGCACCGAGAAUUUUUUAUUUCCACUUGGAUUCCACAACAGCCUAUCCCUCAUCUCAUUGCCAAUUGACAUAGCAUAUAAAUCAAAGAAACUAGAAAACAUGUCCAGCUCCCAAUCUUGGGCCACAUUUGAAAAUCUCACAUUCCAAUGUACGACCCCAUUAGAGCAUACCAGUAAAUCAGCCACAACAGCCUCUUUGUCACAAGCAAUUUGGUAAAGCAUAGGAAAAACUUGCUUAAGAGCCAUGUCCCUGCACCACACAUCGUGCCAAAAGUAAACAUUGUUGCCACUUCCAAUUGCAAUUCUGAAAAAUUGGGAAAAUCCGUCCCAACCAGCUCUUAUGUUUUUCCACAAUCCCACUCAAUGUGCCCCCCCUAACUUCAUUAGAGCACCAACCCCCCCCCCCCCCCCCCCCCCCCGGAAUGCUCCCAUACUUAGACUCUUAUCACUUCUUUCCAUAAACCUUCUCCUUCACUAUGGUACCUCCACAACCAUUUCCUCAAAAGUGCUUUGUUGAACACCCUUAUAUUACGCACCCCCAAUCCUGCACAUCUUAUUGGAGAACAAACUUUAUCCCCCCACAAGAUGGGUUUUAGCUUCAUCCCCCAUACCUCCCCAAAGAAAAUUACAGAAAGUUUUCUCAAUACGAGAGGCCAUACUUGCAGGUAUCAGGAAUAGAAAAGAAAAUAAGUGGGGAGAUUAGAUAACGUGCUUUUAAUGAGAGUCCAUCUACCACCCUUGGACAGAUAUAACCAUUUCCACCCGGCCAAUCUUCUUUCAAUUUUUUCUACCACUCCAUCCCAAAUAGAUUUUGUCUUGAACACAGCCCCAAAAGGAAGACCGAGAUAGUGCAAAGGCAAUGAGGUAAUCUUGCAGCCCAAGAUAGAUGCCAAGCCUUGAAUAUUGUUCACACCUCCCACAAGAACCAUUUCAGACUUCGAGAGAUUUACCUUCAAACCUGAAACUGCUUCAAAACAGAGCAAAACUGCUCUUAGAUACUGCAUAUGAACACUAUCCGGCUCACAAAACAGCAGCGUAUCAUCAGCAAAUAAUAAGUGAGAUAUAGACAUCCCACCCACCGAAAAUCCAGCAAUAAAACCUCUAUUAACAGCUGCACUCAGCAUGCACUCAACAAAGCUGUUAAAAAAACCUUCCGGUGCUCCAUUCUCCAAAACCGAGUAGCGAGCCGUAGUUAUACAAUGCCAAAUCCACGAAAUCCAUCUCUCCCUGAAGCCACAUCUCUCGAGUAAAUAGCACAAAAAAAAUCCCAAUUUACAUGGUCAUAGGCCUUCUCCAUGUCCAGCUUACACAAAAGACCGGAUGUACCCUCCUUGAGUCUACAAUCUAGGCAUUCAUUGGCAACAACACCGAAUCCAAAAUUUGUCUCCCCUUCACAAAUGCAUUUUGGGAUUUUGUUAUAAUACUAUUCAAAACCUGACUCAUGCGGUUGGCAAGCACCUUUGAUAUAAUCUUGUACACCCCAUUAAUGAGGCUAAUAGGCUGAAAAUCUUUUACCUCCACUUCCCCAACUUUCUUGGGGAUGAGAGCCAUGAAGGACAAAUUAAGACUUUUUUCAAAUUUACCAAAAGAGUAAAGCUCCUGAAAAACCUGCAUAAUAUCCUCCCCCACCACAUCCCAACACUCAUGAAAGAAAGCCAUUGAAAACCCAUCCGGCCCCGGUGCUUUGUCCUUGACCAUCCCACUAAGCACCCUAAGAACCUCCUCUGCUUCAAAAGGUCUCUACAACCACACAGAACUAGCUUGAUCAAUAUGCUCAAAGUGCAUUCCAUCCAAUUUGGGCCACCACUGGAAUUAUUCAGCAAGUAAAUCUUCAUAUGUGAGUUAGCCAACUGAUGGAAGAAUUUCGUACAACGGUCCCCUUCCUUCAACCAAAGGGCUCUUGACAUAAUUGACAUUAGGUGAUGGGCUUUGCCCCCAUUUCAUGUUUCUCUUUUUUCGAUUCUAUGGAUUCCAUUUAUUUUGAUUCAACUUUCAAAAACUGUUCUCUCUUUUAAAGCUCUUGUGUACUUUUGUUGCAAGCUUUUACAUGGUUGUUUAUUUUUUUCCAGAGGCUUGGCUUCAACUGCUGUAAAAGCAAAAAGGCAAAAGUCACAAGAGCUGAGAAGUGUCGAGACUUC